AGGCUUCUCCCACUCGUUUGUAAAACACUGACAACACUGCCCGCCUCUUGUUACAUGAACACAUGUCAACUCACCGGAGCUGUGAUUUCAUACAUCGGAUAUCCUCGCCCGAGAGGAAACGUGCUGCCCGGCGCUCGGCGACUGGGGUGGAGGUUUACUGCUGCUGUUUCGUCUGGCCGACUCAAAUCUUCGUGAACAAGGAGCAAUAACCGUACGCGGGAGGCUAGUCCGACGUUUUGCCAUAUAUGGACCUGACUGAUACAAUAGCAACUGAUACAAUCACUAUGGCAACAGUCGAUGAAAACAUCACCUUACACACCAAUGUGACAACGCCUAUGUAUCCAGCAGAAUAUUACAGGUUAACAGAAAUAGUUGACUUUCUUAACACAUACU